CUACAAAAAUGAGUAUGAUCCUGGCUCAGGAUGAACGCUAUUAGUCUGCUUAACACAUGCGAGUCGAAUGGGUAAGACCCAUGGCGAACGGGUGAGGAGAGAAGAGGAAUCUACCUUGUACCCCGGGAUAAUCCCAUCUCUAAGGGGAGAAGGUAACAGGAAAAUACCGGUAGUAGGUUUGAAAACCGGUACAAGAUGAGCCUCUUUAGUAUUAGGUAGUUGGUGGGGUAAGGGCCUACCAAGCUGAUGAUGCUUAGUUGGUCUGAGAGGACGAUCAACCACACUGGGACUGAGACAAGGCCCAGGCUUCAUGAGAAGCCAGCAGUGAGGAAUAUUGGAGUGCGACCCGUUCAUGGACGAAGGAAAGCUGUAGGCUGUACGAAUCCAUGGGCACUGGCGGAAGCCGUGUUAACUGUUUUUUCAUGUGAGCCGGAGAGCUCACCCCUUGGGAGAUAGAGAGGGAAAAGCGAGACCCACGGGGUCGGGGAUGGUCACCCAGAUCCCGAAGCUGGGUUGAAAGAGGUGAAAGCCUAAGGGAAUCUAGGCCGACGAACUGCGAGCAAGUGUCUUGGAUCAGUACACGAAAGGAAGUUGUGGGAAAGCCUCGUAAAUCCUCAUGAGGGGAUCAUAUUCCCUUCUGGGACCUAUGGUCCCGGGUCCCCUCGCCGGAAGAUCGGCACGGGCAUAUACGUGUAGAGUCAAACCAUUAGACAUCUACUAUCUCUACGUAGCCUCGGGGCAGAGCAACGUACUACCAAGACAAAAUGGAAAAAUGGAACGGGGAAACCCCGGCAUCUCUUCCCUUCGGGGACAGGGUAACCAGCCUCAUGAGAUGCAGGGAGUAGGAUUUGGUAAAAAGCGAAGGCCGGUUUGUAAUGAGCCGGAUAGGCCCACGUACCAACUAGUUUUUAUGAGAGAGCGAAGAAGUAGGAGUUUUUUUUAACCCCGAAAAACUGCCAGAGACAAAAAGAGGUGAAAACUAGAGGAGCCGUAUGAUGGGGGACUAUCACGUACGGUUCUGAAGCAGGAUUGUGAGGGAGGCCUCACUUUUACUGUAACCAAUGGGCGAAAGCUUGAUCCAGCAAGACUAGGUGAGGGAGGAAGGCAGUUGUUGUAAACCUCUUUUCUGGAUGAGGAUGGUGACAGUAAUUCAGGAAGAAGUCCCGACUAACUUCGUGCCAGCAGUCGCGGUAAUACGGAGGGGGCUAGCGUUAUCCGGUAUGAUUGGGCGUAAAGGGUCCGUAGACGGUUCUAGGUCGUUCUUUGUUAAAGCCCGAGGCUCAACCUCGGUAAAGCUUAGAAAACACUAGGACUUGAGUCCGAUAGAGGGGAAGGGAAUUUCCCAUCAAGGGGUAAAAUCCAGACAAAUGGGAAGGAACACCAGAGGCGAAAGCGCUUCCCUGGCUCGGUACUGACGUUGAGGGACGAAAGCAUGGGGAGCAAAUAGGAUUAGGCACCCUAGUAGUCCAUGCUGUCAACGAUGAGUGCUAACCCUUAGACAAGAGUUAGGGGUAAAAGCUAAGGCCUUAAGCACUCCGCCUGAAAAGUACGACCGCAAGGUUGAAACUCAACGGAAUUGACGGGGGCCUAAACAAGUGGUGGAGCAUGUGGUUUAAUGCGAUGAUACGCGCGAAACCUUACCAGUCCUUGCAAAGUUGCCAGCUCCAAGGAAACUUGGAAGCUUUUGGACUUUUCAGGUGCUGCAUGGCUGUCGUCAGCUCGUGUCGUGAGAUGUUUGGUUAAGUCCUUUAACGAGCGCAACCCCUGUUCCUUCUUGCCAUUAUGGAACUGAAGGAAGACUGCCGGAAGAUAAGCCGGAGGAGGGUGGGGAUGACGUCAAGUCCUCAUGACCCUUAUGGGCUGGGCUACACACGUGCUACAAUGGUAAGUACAAUAAGUUGCAAUGGAGCAAUCCGGAGCCAAUCUUGAAAGCUUAUCUUAGUUCGGAUUGGGGGCUGCAACUCGCCCCCAUGAAGUUGGAAUCACUAGUAAUCGCGAAUCAGCACGUCGCGGUGAAUAUGUCACUGGGCCUUGUACACACCGCCCGUCACAUCCUGGGAGUUGGUUUUGCCUGAAGUUUGUAUCCUUGACUCCCUAGACUUUGUUUGAUCUUUCUUUGAAGAUAGAUUUCUUCAAAGGGAUUCUUCUUCAGAGGGAUUUGAAGAGACAUAGUGCAAAGGAGAAAAGGCCAACCCAGGGAGAGAUUGGCAACUGGGAUGAAGUCGUAACAAGGUAGUCGUAGGGGAACCUGCGUCUGGAGUC
rnacentral:rRNA from 1 species